rnacentral:rRNA from 1 species
UACGGAGGAUCCAAGCGUUAUCCGGAUUUAUUGGGUUUAAAGGGUGCGCAGGCGGCACGGCAAGCCGGCGGUCAAAUCGCGGGGCUCAACCCCGCCCAGCCGUCGGAACUGCCGGGCUAGAGUGGGCGAGAAGUGCGCGGAAUGCGUGGUGUAGCGGUGAAAUGCAUAGAUAUCACGCAGAACUCCGAUUGCGAAGGCAGCGCACCGGCGCCCUACUGACGCUCAGGCACGAAAGCGUGGGUAUCGAGCAGG